rnacentral:SRP_RNA from 1 species
GCCAGGCAUGAUGGUACAUGCCUGUAGUCCCAGCUACACAGGUGGCUGAGGCAGGAGGAUUGCCUGAGCCCAGGAGUUUGAGGCUGCAGUGAGCUGUGAUAGCACCACUGCACUCCAGCCUGGGCAACAGGGCAAGACCUUGUCUCAA